GCGCGAGUGGCGGAAUUGGCAGACGCGCUGGACUUAGGAUCCAGUGUCUUAGGACGUGGGGGUUCAAGUCCCCCCUCGCGCACCA
rnacentral:tRNA from 1 species